ACUGCCCCCAGAGGCACUGCAGGCAUGGCUGCUGCUUCACAUGUACACCAGGAGGUGGCAGAGAGGACAGAGGCUGUGUCUACACUCAGUGUUCUGUCAUGUGGACGUCUAACUGGUUAGUGGCCUCACACU